ACUCUACCCGGUCCCCUUUCCCAUUAGAUCUGAACACUGCUCUUAGUGGUCAUAAAAGGGAGGAAUAGUAGGAAUGAAGCUGUCCUCACAGUGCUUGUAGUCUGCUAUAUAGCAUGUGGGCUAGUUUCAAACAAGG